rnacentral:rRNA from 1 species
UGGGGAAUAUUGGACAAUGGGCGAAAGCCUGAUCCAGCCAUGCCGCGUGUGUGAAGAAGGUCUUCGGAUUGUAAAGCACUUUAAGUUGGGAGGAAGGGCAGUAAGCGAAUACCUUGCUGUUUUGACGUUACCGACAGAAUAAGCACCGGCUAACUCUGUGCCAGCAGCCGCGGUAAUACAGAGGGUGCAAGCGUUAAUCGGAAUUACUGGGCGUAAAGCGCGCGUAGGUGGUUCGUUAAGUUGAAUGUGAAAGCCCCGGGCUCAACCUGGGAACUGCAUCCAAGACUGGCGAGCUAGAGUAGGGCAGAGGGUGGUGGAAUUUGCUGUGUAGCGGUGAAAUGCGUAGAUAUAGGAAGGAACACCAGUGGCGAAGGCGACCACCUGGGCUCAAACUGACACUGAGGUGCGAAAGCGUGGGGAGCAAACAGG